CAGUCGCAGUUUAGAAAUUGCCCUUCAAAUUUGAGCUGGCUAGAGUGGAGUUUCAAUGAAUGUCAAUGGACGGCGUGAGUUGCAAACAAAUGGUCAUAUUGUGAAAACUAUCAGGACUAUGGCUUAGCCAUGGACAUUUUUAGCGGCAGCAGGGAUAGCUGAACGUUUUAAUAUAAGAUUUGUGUAGGUGGGCUUGAAAAUGAGGGAGUGGUG